UUUUAAGUUUUUUCUAGGUCACCCAUAUUUUCCUGGGCCAUUAGCUCAGGUGGUUAGAGCGCACCCCUGAUAAGGGUGAGGUCCCUGGUUCAAGUCCAGGAUGGCCCAUAUCUCUAUAUUGGGGGUAUAGCUCAGUUGGUAGAGCGCCUGCUUUGCAAGCAGGAUGUCAGCGGUUCGAGUCCGCUUACCUCCACUGAUUACCACCCUUCCAAUGAGAAGGAAUUUUUGGGAUCGACCUUCUGGGAAUGAAUCUAGCUUCCUAUUAAUUUAAUAACUUAUUUAUUAUUUAAUAAGACGCUGGACUCAAUGAAUUUUUAAAUUCUUUGUUUUCAGAGAACCUUGACAACUGCAUAGAUUUUUUUCAAGACAAUAAGCAUCUUUUAAUGAUGCAGAUUUAUUAUUUGUGCUAAAUGCAUUAAAUAACAAUUCUAUUGAGCUGAUGCUUCAAUUUUUUUGAAGUUAUU
rnacentral:tRNA from 1 species